CUUAACACAUGCAAGUCGAACGGAGCUUCGGCUCAGUGGCGGACGGGUGAGUAACACGUAGGAACCUGCCCAGAAGUGGGGGAUAACUCCUCGAAAGAGGGGCUAAUACCGCAUACGGUCUACGGACCAAAGCAGCAAUGCGCUACUGGAGGGGCCUGCGGUGGAUUAGCUAGUUGGUGGGGUAAUGGCCUACCAAGGCGACGAUCCAUAGCUGGUCUGAGAGGACGGCCAGCCACACUGGGACUGAGACACGGCCCAGACUCC
rnacentral:rRNA from 1 species